GAGAUUGGCCUAACGGCCGUGUCUUCAUCCACACACACCGUGAACCGUUCUGGGAGCCCGCUAACCCCGGGCUGCCCGGACUACACACCAAAAACGAGGUGUAAAGAAUGUAAAAUUGUCGUAACAAAACA
rnacentral:misc_RNA from 1 species